rnacentral:lncRNA from 1 species
UGAAAACAAACAUUUCUGCAAGGUUUGCCUUCUUAGAAAAGAUUAAGUCCAGUCCCUCUUGUCUUGUACUCUGUCACUGGCAGGUUCUUGUCCUGUUUGAAACACCAAAGAAGGCAGAAUUUUCAGUGCUGGUGGUUUGUGGAAAAAAAGAAAAAAAGCUACGGAGGACGUUUUACGUUGGGCAGAGAUUUCAGGCUGCAGCAAGAUCCAGCCUGUGCACUUGUGAAAGGCUGUGCUCUCCUCUGGGGCUGGAGGAAGACAAAGAAAGCUCUUGUGAUGUUUGUCCUUUGGAAUACAGAGAAAACCAGCUAGAGCCCGAAAAUGGCUUUUUUUUUGCUCCUUCCUGCUGCCUCUCUGUCUCUUCCAGCUGGUGAGUAUUCUCAGUUGUGGAGUGCUUUUCCCCUUCUCUUAUUCAUGAAGAGAUGGCACAUCUCUUUGGUCAGCAUCACUGAAACAUUUUCUAUUCUUUGUCUUGGAUGCUAUUAAAAAGCCAGCUGCUAAAGAUGGUUACUGUGUUUUUGGAACUUAGUCCUUGUUAACUGAAACUUCUCUAAAAAUUUAGGAUGGAUUUCUUAAGAAUUGAAGAGUAAUAGCAGG